rnacentral:rRNA from 1 species
AUUGAACGCUGGCGGCAGGCCUAACACAUGCAAGUCGAGCGGAUGACGGGAGCUUGCUCCUUGAUUCAGCGGCGGACGGGUGAGUAAUGCCUAGGAAUCUGCCUGGUAGUGGGGGACAACGUUUCGAAAGGAACGCUAAUACUGCAUACGUCCUACGGGAGAACGCAGGGGACCUUCGGGCCGUGCGCUAUCAGAUGAGCAUAGGUCGGAUUAGCUAGUAGGUGAGGUAAUGGCUCACCUAGGCGACGAUACGUAACUGGUCUGAGAGGCGGUUCGGUCACACUGGAACUGAGACAGGGGACAGACUCCUAGGGGAGGCAGCAGUGGGGAAUAUUGGACAAUGGGCGAAAGCCUGAUCCAGCCAUGCCGCGUGUCUGAAGAAGGUCUUCGGAUUGUAAAGCAGUUUAAGUCGGGAGGAAGGGUUGUACGUUAAUACCGUGCAAUUUUGACGUUACCGACAGAAUAAGCACCGGCUAACUCUGAGCCAGCCGCCGCCGUAA